rnacentral:rRNA from 1 species
UGGGUAACCUGCCCGGAUGUGGGGAAUACCUCGGGGAAACUCGAACUAAUACCGCAUGACAUCUUCGGGACGAAAGUCCUGAUGAUCAAAGCGGGGUCGCAAGAUCUCGCGCUUCCGGAUGGGCCCGCGCCCGAUUAGCUAGUUGGCGAGAUAACGGCUCACCAAGGCAACGAUCGAGCGGCC